AGUCACUGACAUUAGAUACCCGCGUAGUCCCAGCCGUAAACUAUGCGCGUUAGGUGUACUGGUGACCACGAGUCACCGGGUGCCGAAGGGAAACCGUGAAACGUGCCGCCUGGGAAGUACGGUCGCAAGGCUGAAACUUAAAGGAAUUGGCGGGGGAGCACCGCAACGGGAGGAGCGUGCGGUUUAAUUGGAUUCAACACCGUAAAACUCACCAGGGAAGACUGUUACAUGAAGGCCGAGAUGAAGACUCUGCUAGAUUUUCAG
rnacentral:rRNA from 1 species